rnacentral:rRNA from 1 species
UACGGAGGGGGCUAGCGUUGUUCGGAAUUACUGGGCGUAAAGCGCACGUAGGCGGCUUUGUAAGUUAGAGGUGAAAGCCCAGGGCUCAACCCUGGAAUUGCCUUUAAGACUGCAUCGCUUGAACAUCGGAGAGGUAAGUGGAAUUCCGAGUGUAGAGGUGAAAUUCGUAGAUAUGGGGAGGAACACCGGUGGCGAAGGCGGCCACCUGGACGGUAACUGACGCUGAGACGCGAAAGCGUGGGUAGCAAACAGG